GAUGAACGCUAGCUACAGGCUUAACACAUGCAAGUCGCGGGGCAGCAUGGGGGUUGCUUGCAACCCCUGAUGGCGACCGGCGCACGGGAGAGUAACGCGUAUCCAACCUGCCCUUCACCACGGGUUAACCCGGCGAAAGUAGGACUAAAUCCGUAUGUUGUCCAUUGGCGGCGUCCGGUUAGGACGCAGCGCUUGGCGGUGGAAGGGUGGGGCUGCGUCCGAUUAGCUUGGCGGCGGGGUACCGGCGCACCGGGGGGUCGCUUGGUAGGGGUUGUGAGAGGAAGGUCCCCCACAGGGGAACCGAGACACGGGCCAGACACCUACGGGAGGCAGCAGUGAGGAAUACUGGUCAAUGGGCGUAAGCCUGAAGCAGCCAAGUAUCGUGCAGGAAGACGGCGCGAUGGGUGGUGAACUGCUUUUAGGCGGGGAUAAAGGGGCCUGCGGGUGGGCUAUUGCCGGUACCGGAUGAAUAAGGACCGGCUAAUUCCGUG
rnacentral:rRNA from 1 species